rnacentral:rRNA from 1 species
GUCGAGCGGUAACAGAAUGAUAGCUUGCUAUCAAUGCUGACGAGCGGCGGACGGGUGAGUAAUGCCUGGGAAUAUGCCCUGAUGUGGGGGAUAACUAUUGGAAACGAUAGCUAAUACCGCAUAAUCUCUUCGGAGCAAAGAGGGGGACCUUCGGGCCUCUCGCGUCAGGAUUAGCCCAGGUGGGAUUAGCUUGUUGGUGGGGUAAUGGCUCACCAAGGCAACGAUCCCUAGCUGGUCUGAGAGGAUGAUCAGCCACACUGGAACUGAGACACGGUCCAGACUCCUACGGGAGGCAGCAGUGGGGAAUAUUGCACAAUGGGGGAAACCCUGAUGCAGCCAUGCCGCGUGUAUGAAGAAGGCCUUCGGGUUGUAAAGUACUUUCAGUUGUGAGGAAGGCGUUGAUGUUAAUAGCUUCAGCGUUUGACGUUAGCAACAGAAGAAGCACCGGCUAACUCCGUGCCAGCAGCCGCGGUAAUACGGAGGGUGCGAGCGUUAAUCGGAAUUACUGGGCGUAAAGCGCAUGCAGGUGGUCUGUUAAGCAAGAUGUGAAAGCCCGGGGCUCAACCUCGGAACAGCAUUUUGAACUGGCAGACUAGAGUACUGU